rnacentral:tRNA from 1 species
GGGCGAUUAGCUCAGUUGGUUAGAGCGCCUCGUUUACACCGAGGAGGUCCCAGGUUCGAGUCCUGGAUCGCCCA